AUGCUGCAGUAAUGAGUGGUGGUGUCUCUGAGGUUUCUCUCAUAUCUAACAUUAGCUGCAUUUGUUCUACAUAUAUCACACAGUUAUUAAUGAUUGACCUGCAGAAUAAUAGUGUAUAUAUGACGUUGCACUGUUAUGUAAAAUAAAAGUUCCUCUCAAAAAGGAGAUAUGCAAGUAGUUUCAAGCUUUCUGUGUAACUUUUAAAUCAUCUUCAGGAGCAGGUAGAGGUGUCAGGAAACAGCUGAUUAAUACCAGGUGUGUAGAUGUUCCUCCAUAUGUGAUACCUAUCCAGAUGUGGUACUUAGCGGUUCUGCACAUGCAAUCUAUGGAUGAUGGUGAGCAAUAUCUUAAAAAUCAUUUUUUCAUUGCGCAUUGCUUUUUGAUCUGUAAGUGCGUAAAUAUUUGCAUAUACACACUGGCUUUGAUGCAGAAUGUAUAAAUUAGAUUAUAAUGGCGUGCACCAUAUUUAGUUAAGUCAUUCGGCCAGUUUUAUGGAAUUAUCUACUAUGGUUUUGCACUAUGAUAGCAUUUUUUGACAAGGCUGCAUAAAUUGUCAGAACACCGGCUGAUUGCUCAGCAGCAUCUGAUGACGUCUCAAAAUCAUGUAAACAACUUCAAUUCUUUUGAUAUCCUGCAUCUUUUUUCAAUAGUGUUAUGUCCAGAAGGAACAAACCAUUUCUUUAAUGCCUGGCAUGUCCAGGGAGGUUUUGGAUGCAGGCAUGACACGCGGCCCGGGCAGUGAGUGCUAGGCUUGCAUGCUCGGCACCGAGGCACAUCUUGCAGCGGGGGUGGAGGUCGGAGGGCAUUAUGUAACUGAUCUGACAGUUGAGGCGCAGACGAACUGAAGACAUGACUUCUUGCAGACAUUACUUCUUUGGGAACAGAUCUCUGGUCACGCCGGUAUAAUAUAUUGUGGAUGUGGACCUGAGAGGGGCAACUGUGCAGGGCAUGGUGGCGUGAAGAAAAUCUUCAGGACAGAUAAACCCAAUAGCGACAACUCUUAGAGGGUGAAGCCUAUAUGGAAUAGAACAUCCAUCUCAGCUUGAUUUGACCUCAUCCGUGUAAGCAAUGGCUGCCAACCUGUGCACAUGCCCCACACACGUGCCAGUAAUGAUUGCACAUGUUUGUUCUUUGUCUAUGAUUCCAUCUUAAAUAUCAUUUAAUCUGUUCAUAAUUAUUUUUGCAAAUAUUUUAUAGUCUGUAUUCAUAAUAGUCAGAUAUCUGUAAUUAUCUCAGAGGGCAGGUUGUCUGGACCAAGGCUUUUCCCAACAUUUAACUGUUUAAUAGCCUCAAUCACCUCGUCUUUUCUUCCUUUACCGAGCAGUGAAAAGGGGUCACUUUCCAGAUCCUGUCAGCAGAUCACCAAUCACGAGGCAGUCGGCCUGUAACCUGCACCGUCUUGAUGGUUUAACACACUUUGGUGUGUAACCCAGCACGAAUGUUGUGGUCCUCAGUUUGGAGUUUGACAUUAUUAUAAAUCAGAUUAAUUCCACAAUUCAUUCUCAUAUUUACCAAGAGUUUACAUUUUAAGUUUCAAACUGACUCAAUUGUUUUGUUGUUUAUUUAUUUAUAUUUGAAACCUAGAAAGAGGUUUAUAUGAAAUUUGGGGAAAAAACUUAGAUCAUGGAUGAUUGAGUGAUGGGGUAUUUUUUGAACAUUAUGAAAUAGCUAAUUAAGCAUUGUGCAACUUUGGCAGUAACCACUCUGUGCUUUCACGUUGUUUUAAAAGGGUAAAUUGUUAUUUUUUUGUUUGACCAUAAAUGUUUGAGAUACAUCCAGACACAUCAUUUAAAAACUUACAUUCAGUAUGUUUGUAUGUCAGAUUCUAGUUAAAGAUAGAUGUAGUAUAUUUCAUACCAGUGUUUUAUAGGUUAGUAGUUACUUGCUUUUCAGUCUGUGUGUUAAAACACUUAUUGAUUAGUUUAAUGGUGAUAGUAACUUCCAAGUUAGUGUUUUAAUUUUAGUGAUGGGAUUAAACCUUGGUUUACAUCUGCAUUACAUAAUGUGUUUAUUUUACUCAAUGCGGUUGGAGAAUAUUAAAAUGGACUAAUAGUUUUAUUCAUACAGGAUUGUUAGUAUUAGCUGCUGGUGCCUGCAGGCCUGGACAGUAAUGCUCUUAACUGCAUAAAACAUUUUAAUACAUCCAAACACUUUGUUGUUCUUGGAAUAAUUAAUUAUCACCUAAAUGAGGCAAUUGAAGCCCUUUAUAACGUUUUCCGUUAUUCUAUUAAAAACUUACAUUAGAAAUA